AGAACUGAUGAAUGCACCUUAUACGCUAGAGGAUCAAGACAAAGAAGAAGAAAUAGCCAUAGUUGUUUCAUCAAUGGCGAGCCCUCCUAAGUCUACUGGAGAAGCAUCCAAGGUUCCGGAAAUAGCCAUAGUUGCUUCAUCAAUGGCGAGCCCUCCUAAGUCUACUAGAGAAGCAUCUCAAGCUCCG